GACCAGGAGGAGGACGGGGAGCAGCGGGGACAGGUGCAGCCACAGAAUGGCUUCUCUGGCUACUGGACAUGUGUGAAACAAGGGACACUGAAGGGAGCUUGGGAAGCUCUGGGAGACACAGGCUGUCCCAUCUGAGUGCUUAAAGAAAUGUCUGACGGACAAUAAAUUAUAAUAUAUAAUCCUGGUGUUUUACACUCACUGAGUGGCGUGAGACUGAUUAUAAAUGUAACCACAUGUAAAGAAACUAAUGAUUUAUAGCAGCUUUUUAUGUUGUCUAUAUAUUCAGCUAAAUGUGGGUGUGUUGUUAAUAGUGUUUAUUAUUAUAUUAUUCCAGUGGCCAAUGAUUUUCAAAUCAAUUGUGCACUCUGGCACUUGUUUGUACAUCCAAGUGCUUUUAUGGGCUAAUUGUAUUCAUAUUGUCAGCAUGUGGUGUGGGUUUUUUAUUCAAAUAAAGUUUUACUUAAAAAUGAA